rnacentral:rRNA from 1 species
UACGGAGGAUCCGAGCGUUAUCCGGAUUUAUUGGGCUUAAAGGGUGCGUAGGCGGCCUUGUAAGUCAGGGGUGAAAGACGGUAGCUUAACUAUCGCAGUGCCUUUGAUACUGCAGGGCUUGAAUGUACUUGAGGUAGGCGGAAUGUGACAAGUAGCGGUGAAAUGCAUAGAUAUGUCACAGAACACCAAUUGCGAAGGCAGCUUACUAAAGUAUGAUUGACGCUGAGGCACGAAAGCGUGGGGAUCAAACAGG